CCCCUCCUGAAGCUCACACUCAGCUAAAGAGGACCACCAUCCCCAAUAGAGGAGGACCAGUCUCAGUCAAGCGUAUAUGAAUAGCUGAGCUUCUCUGAUAGAAUCUCCAAACAAGCUCCCAAUAAAGUAGAGUGUCAUUGCAGAGC
ensembl:misc_RNA 7SK 7SK RNA